rnacentral:ribozyme from 1 species
UUUUUUAUUCUUUUUUUUCUCUCUGGAAAUGUGCUCAAAUUUGCAAAAAUCAAUGUUGGAGGUUGGAAACAGUACACACGCGAUGCGUACAUUAAGGAUCUAAAACCAAUCAAAAGAAGCGAUGAUAUAUGUUACCGCUACUACUGUUGUUGUUGUUUGUUGAAGCAUGAAGCAUGAGCGAGAAACCGGUGGUCAAAAUUCGAACUUGCGCGCGCAGAACGGCGCUGGUGUUUUUUAUUUUAUUUGGACGAAGUGACACGUCUCUCCCUCCAUCCAUAAAGUGAGAAGAGUUUAAA